rnacentral:rRNA from 1 species
UUGACCUCGGAUCAGGCAGGGAUACCCGCUGAACUUAAGCAUAUCAAUAAGCGGAGGAAAAGAAACCAACAGGGAUUGCCUCAGUAACGGCGAGUGAAGCGGCAACAGCUCAAAUUUGAAAUCUGGCUCUUUUAGGGUCCGAGUUGUAAUUUGUAGAGGAUGCUUCGGCGUCGGCUCCGGUCUAAGUUCCUUGGAACAGGACGUCAUAGAGGGUGAGAAUCCCGUAUGUGAUCGGUUGCCCUUGCCAUGUGAAGCUCCUUCGACGAGUCGAGUUGUUUGGGAAUGCAGCUCUAAAUGGGAGGUAAAUUUCUUCUAAAGCUAAAUACUGGCCAGAGACCGAUAGCGCACAAGUAGAGUGAUCGAAAGAUG